rnacentral:rRNA from 1 species
CGUGAAGAGAUAUGUUCGGUUGAUCCUCCACUGACUAGAAAAGUCUCUAGCGAGCUUUCCGUAUGAUCGUACCGCAAACCGACACUGGUAGACGGGCUGAAAAUGCUCAGGUGUUGAGAUAAGUAUCAUUAAGGAGCUCGGCAAAAUUGCCCCGUAACUUCGGGAGAAGGGGUGCCUCUUCUGUGUACUUUUAGGAAGCAGAUAGAGGUUACAAUAAAUUGGCCCAACCGACUGUUUAACAAAAACACAGGGCUCUGCAAACUCGUAAGAGGAAGUAUAGAGUCUGACGCCUGCCCAGUGCUGGAAGGUUAAUAGGAGAUGUUAGUUCUUCGGAGCGAAGCGUUGAAUUGAAGCCCCAGUAAACGGCGGCCGUAACUAUAACGGUCCUAAGGUAGCGAAGUACCUUGUCGGGUAAAUUCCGACGCGCAUGAAUGGCGUAACGAGUUGGGCGCUGUCUUGAUGAUAUACUCAGUGAAGUUGUAGUGCCGGUGAAAAUGCCGGCUACCCGCAAUAGGACGGAAAGACCCCGUGCACCUUUACUAUAGCUUGACAUUGUUUUUUGGAUUAAUUUGUGUAGGAUAGGCGGGAGACUAUGAGACUAAGGCGCUAGCUUUAGUGGAGCCGCCCUUGAAAUACCGCCCUUAUUCGUUUGAAAAACUAACUUCGAAUACCCGUAAUCCGGGCGAAGGACAAUGUCUGGUGGGUAGUUUGACUGGGGUGGUCGCCUCCCAAACAGUAACGGAGGCGUUCAAAGGUUCCCUCAUGACGAAUAGAAAUCGUCGGUAGAGCGUAAAAGCAGAAGGGAGCUUUACUGCGAGACAAACAAGUCGAGCAGGUACGAAAGUAGGAUUUAGUGAUCCAGUGGUUCCAUAUGGAAGGGCCAUUGCUAAACGGAUAAAAGGUACGCCGGGGAUAACAGGCUGAUUCCCUCUAAGAGUUCACAUCGACGAGGGAGUUUGGCACCUCGAUGUCGGCUCAUCACAUCCUGGGGCUGGAGAAGGUCCCAAGGGUUUGGCUGUUCGCCAAUUAAAGUGGUACGCGAGCUGGGUUCAGAACGUCGCGAGACAGUUCGGUCCUUAUCCAUUGUGGGCGCAAGAUAUUUGAAGAGGGCUGUCCCUAGUACGAGAGGACCGGGAUGGGCAAACCUCUAGUGUUCCAGUUGUUUACCAAAAGCAACGCUGGGUAGCUAAGUUUGUAAGAGAUAACCGCUGAAAGCAUAUAAGUGGGAAACUCGCUCUAAGACUAGAUAUCUCGUAUUGUUGGAAGUAUAAAUGUCUUCGGAUGUUUAUAUGGAAGGUGGUACAUAGUAAGAUCCCUUGAAGACUACAAGGUUGAUAGGUCGGGUGUGUAAGCGUUGUAAGGCGUUAAGCUAACCGAUACUAAUAGAUCGAGUGUUUUAAUCGC